rnacentral:rRNA from 1 species
UACGUAGGGUGCGAGCGUUAAUCGGAAUUACUGGGCGUAAAGCGUGCGCAGGCGGUUCUGUAAGUCAGAUGUGAAAUCCCCGGGCUCAACCUGGGAACUGCGUUUGAAACUACAGGGCUAGAGUAUGGGAGAGGGAGGUAGAAUUCCACGUGUAGCAGUGAAAUGCGUAGAGAUGUGGAGGAAUACCAAUGGCGAAGGCAGCCUCCUGGCCUAAUACUGACGCUCAUGCACGAAAGCGUGGGGAGCAAGCAGG